rnacentral:rRNA from 1 species
AUUGAACGCUGGCGGCAGGCCUAACACAUGCAAGUCGAGCGGUAACAGGAAGACGCUUGCUUCUUUGCUGACGAGUGGCGGACGGGUGAGUAAUGUCUGGGAAACUGCCUGAUGGAGGGGGAUAACUACUGGAAACGGUAGCUAAUACCGCAUAACGUCGCAAGACCAAAGAGGGGGACCUUCGGGCCUCUUGCCAUCGGAUGUGCCCAGAUGGGAUUAGCUAGUAGGUGGGGUAACGGCUCACCUAGGCGACGAUCCCUAGCUGGUCUGAGAGGAUGACCAGCCACACUGGAACUGAGACACGGUCCAGACCCCUACGGGAGGUAGCAGUGGGGAAUAUUGCACAAUGGGCGCAAGCCUGAUGCAGCCAUGCCGCGUGUAUGAAGAAGGCCUUCGGGUUGUAAAGUACUUUCAGCGGGGAGGAAGGGAGUAAAGUUAAUACCUUUGCUCAUUGACGUUACCCGCAGAAGAAGCACCGGCUAACUCCGUG